UGUCAAGAAGCCUGACCGCUACCGACCUGGAAUCGUCGCUCUUCGUGAAAAAACAUACUAAAGCAACAACAUUAUGGUGGUGGGAAUAAGCGUUCUCAGUUUGAUCGAAUCAGGUUGAAUUGAAUAAUCCUUGAAGUGACAAGAAGGAGCUGAUUGAGCAAGUUUGCCUCAAGCCGGUGAAGGAAUCAGGGUAACAGAGCCCAGACUAUAAGAGAUGACGGAAAUUGACCCGAGUUCAUACUGAAACAAUAUGAUUAUUUUGGUUAUGAUACAACUGAAGUGGAGAAGGAUAGCUCAGUGGCUUCCUAAGGUGCAAUGCUACUUCAGAAUGCUUUAGUUCAGAAGCCGGCAGAAUCAAAUGACAAUCUUGGGCCAAGAAAGAAAUCAUUAUCUGAUAUUGGGAACCUACUGGUGAAUGCAGACGCUGCAAAACCUGCCUUAAAGAACUGUAGAUGCUGAAGACAAAAAAGAAGCAAAGGAUACAUUGCAAGCAUAAGAGUUGGCUUCAUUUCAUUCCAGUGACUCUUUAAAUAGGUCCAAGAACUCACUAAAUAGAAGGUGGUAGUGAAAUUGGAUUUACAUAACAACAGAGAAAAUAAAAAGGCCUUGAAAGCAGUCUCCAGCCUUACAGGUAUCAAUUUUUUCUUUUAAGCAUGUUGGUUUAAUUUGGCUCCGUGAAAAACUUAGAAUAUAAUAAAAAUGUAAAAACAAUUCUGAAUUAUUUUUCAUUCAUCAGGACCCACUAAGUUCUUUGUAUUGGUUGAUAAGUUAAUGAAAAUUUGUCAAGUUUUAUGUUUUUAUGUAUGCUUAUUGUGUAUAA